AGCUGAAAAACCUGAAGCCCAAGAGGCCAGCUCCGGCUCUGUAGCAGCCAUCCUGAGUGUAAUUGUGCUGUCUGUACUGGGAGCAAUUGUUGGAUUCUUCACCUACAAGAACAAGAAACUGUGCUUCAAAAGUAGACAAGAAGCGGAUCCAGAAGCUGCACGCAAAGCUGAUGCAACCGAGGUUCAGGCGGAUCCUCAGGUCCUCAGUAACCUACUCAACUCCUCCUAGACCGGCAACGAUCACGUGACUGGACCAACGACUGGCAAGCAUAGUGUCAAAUCUCACUGUUAAGCUCUACCUUCUUCUGGAGAGCUACAUUACUGUGAGGCCCUCGAGCAGGGCUGUGUAUGUCUGUGUAUGUGUUUGUGUGUGUGGGUGUGCGUGCGUGUACAUAUGUGGGACUAAAAAUAUGUGAAAAUUGAGGGGUUUAUGGUUGUUACAACAUAGCAAUUUUCUAAAUUAAUCGGACAAACGUUCUACUAUUGUGGACAUUAAAGAGAUUCAAUCUCAAAUUAACCAUAAAACUGCAUUGUAUGGCUACUAUCCAGUCUUAGUAAUUCAGUGUGAAUAUAAACCAGUGACAGUUAUUGGUGAUUUAAAUGUUUGCCUUUGUGUUAAAUUCUAAAAAGUGGAUUUUAUGUUGUGCUAAUUCUGUCAUUGUUUGAGCCAUACAUUAUUUUGAAAGUCCAGUUGCAACAGCCACUUAAUAAAAAACUUGUUUUCUUAUUGUUGUAAUAGUCUGCAGUACAAAUGCAGGAUAGAUGGAUAACAAGGGGAUAACUACCAAUGUAUUCUUGCGAGGAGAAAUAUUAUAGGAUAGAUUCUGGGGAUGCUAUAUGGUCCAAUGUGUGUUCCUCGGACCAGUGAUGUCACUGUAUGUGUGUGUGUGUGUGUGUCUAUUUUUUGGGUUGGUGAAGGGGCUUAUUAUUAUUAAAUCUUGUUGGGUGACUACCACUUCUCCUCAGUCAGAUAAUAAAUCAGAGUAAUAGAGUGAAAUUUCCAAAUCAACAAAAGAAAACUUCUCCUCAGUUCAUUAAUUGCAAAUUGAUUAAACAAUCAAACACAUAUGCAUUUAUUUGACAAUGUUAUAUGAACAUCUAAAAGUGAAGUGGAGUCUCGUCCAACCCUAUUUCUGUCAAUGAAUGAACGUUCACCUGACAUGGACAAAUUCAACAGAGGUCAUGUGGUAUUGUAUUAGACAUUGUUCUGAUGUAGCAUGUGGCUGUCUAGUUGUGAUGCAGUAAUUUAUCCUCUAUAGUGCCUUUCACUGACACAGCCUGGCUUGACCAAUUUACUGACACACAGGGAAGAGAGCUGGGACGAUACAAGUGAAAACAGGCAGAAUAGUAGUCGAAUGUAUGAAAAUAUACUCGACAAUUGAGGAAUGUACAAUCUUAAUUAAUUCAUAAUCAUGUCGGUAGUUGAAAAGCCUCCCCUUGGACUGUUAAUGUAUGUGAAACUGUUACAUUAUUGUAUCCGUUCAUAGUGGGCUGUUUGCUGUUUUAUUCCAAUACUCUUUUAACAGCCUCACAUUUCAGCCCUAAAUGUACCCUCUCUGCGUGACAGAAACGUGACAGCCACUAGCUGUCACAGUGUUUUUUUUCACUUACAGACACUAUUCACCUGUGAUUUUUAUAUGCAUUUUACAUUUAGCAGUGGUUGAUCAUUGUGAAAUGCCUUAGAAGCAGCGCUUGUGCUUAAAAAAGAAGAAAAUGAAAGAAAACCCAACAGUUCCUUUUUCUUUGUGGCUGUAGCACAAAAAGUAUUAUCUAUUGAAUGUCUUUUUGUUGCCUCGCAGUUUUGUACUUGCUCUGCUCCCUUUACAUUUUUAAAUAGGGUUAUAGAGGUUGCAUAGUGCUGCAGUUUAUGUAAAGUGUGUUAAUUGUAAAGCACCAUAUAGCUGCAAUACAGGACAGAGACUGUUGCUCACAGCCUAGCCUCAAACUGAGAAUUAUUCAUAGUCUGUGAUGUCACAUUUUGAUUAAUCCUACUGUGCAAACUAUAGGCUGGACACUGUGUCAAAGCCCUGUAUGAAAUGCCUUCUUAUUCUUUGAUAAAAUGUGUCCUGACAUUUGGGAACUAAGUGUGCCGGAAGUCUCUUACUGCAUCUGCGACAAUGGCACGGAGCGAUAAUGCACAAAAUACCCACUGAGUAAUAGUACAAGCUUUCAGAUGUAGCCACCGAUGCCUUCAAAACAAAACAUCAUCCUUUUAAUGCAGUACUUCCUGCACUCCAAUAAGGAAUCAACAAAAGCGGUUCGCUGCAGUGUAUGUUCAGAAACCUUAGGAGGCCGAAGCAACGAUACAGCCCUUCAAAAGGCACAAGGAAUGCUUGUGUUUUGAGCAUUAUGGUCCAGUCCACAUUUAGUUCCGGGCUGUCGUAUUCCUUGUAAACACAAACUUGUGGAGCAUAGCAUCCAAACCAUAAUCUAUAACCAAGGAAUCGACUUAUUGGGUCGAGAAGUGCACUUCCCAAAAAGUGCUAAGGCAUCAAUAGGGCGCUGACCAGUCCUGCCUUAUAUCUCUUGAACCUUCCAGAGAGGAAAACAAAGAACAAUGUCAUCAUCAGAAAGUAAAUGAUAAAGAGAUGUUUUUGCAGGGGAUUUUAUUAACAGUCUCUAUGGGAGAAGCACUUUGAUUUAUCAAACAUACAACACAAUUCAUUUUUGAUUUCGACAAAUGACUCUUCCUUUUUUUUUUUUUUAUACGCUGUGUUUUACUUUUGUUUUCAGAAUUACUUUUCGUCUGGCACUUGUGUUGUUCUUCAGGAAUUGUGUAAAUAAUGUUUUAGGAGUCAAUUAAACCGUUUUCUUGGGA